AAUUUUUGUUUUUGCUCAUAAAGUCAUUUUUCUUGAAAACAGUUGACUUUAGAGCAAUGAACCAAGAGAAAUC
rnacentral:pre_miRNA from 14 species